rnacentral:rRNA from 1 species
AUUGAACGCUGGCGGCAUGCUUUACACAUGCAAGUCGAACGGCAGCGCGGGCUUCGGCCUGGCGGCGAGUGGCGAACGGGUGAGUAAUGCAUCGGAACGUGCCCAGUAGUGGGGGAUAGCCCGGCGAAAGCCGGACUAAUACCGCAUACGACCUGAGGGUGAAAGCGGGGGACCGAAAGGCCUCGCGCUAUUGGAGCGGCCGAUGUCGGAUUAGCUAGUUGGUGGGGUAAAGGCUUACCAAGGCGACGAUCCGUAGCUGGUCUGAGAGGACGACCAGCCACACUGGGACUGAGACACGGCCCAGACUCCUACGGGAGGCAGCAGUGGGGAAUUUUGGACAAUGGGGGCAACCCUGAUCCAGCCAUGCCGCGUGCGGGAAGAAGGCCUUCGGGUUGUAAACCGCUUUUGUUCGGGAAGAAAUCCUCUGGGCUAAUACCCCGGGGGGAUGACGGUACCGGAAGAAUAAGCACCGGCUAACUACGUG